AUGUGGCUCCUGUGUGUGGCGGCGGCGGUCUUGGCAUGGGGCUUCCUCUGGGUUUGGGACUCCUCAGAACGAAUGAAGAGUCGGGAGCAAGGAGGACGGCUGGGAGCCGAAAGCCGGACCCUCCUGGUCAUAGCGCACCCUGACGAUGAAGCCAUGUUUUUUGCUCCCACAGUGCUAGGCUUGGCCCGCCUAAGGCACUGGGUGUACCUGCUCUGCUUCUCUGCAGGAAAUUACUACAAUCAAGGAGAGACUCGUAAGAAAGAACUUUUGCAGAGCUGUGAUGUUUUGGGGAUUCCACUCUCCAGUGUAAUGAUUAUUGACAACAGGGAUUUCCCAGAUGACCCAGGUGUGCAGUGGGACACAGAGCACGUGGCCAGAGUCCUCCUCCAGCACAUAGAAGUGAAUGGCAUCAAUCUGGUGGUGACUUUCGAUGCAGGGGGAGUAAGUGGCCACAGCAAUCACAUUGCUCUGUAUGCAGCUGUGAGGGCCCUGCACUCAGAAGGGAAGUUACCUAAAGGGUGCUCUGUGCUCAUGCUUCAGUCUGUGAAUGUGCUGCGCAAGUACAUCUCCCUUCUGGAUCUGCCCUUGUCUCUGCUUCAUACUCAGGAUGUCCUCUUUGUGCUCAACAGCAAAGAAGUGGCACAGGCCAAGAAAGCCAUGUCCUGCCACCGCAGCCAGCUCCUCUGGUUCCGCCGCCUCUACAUUAUCUUCUCCCGGUACAUGAGAAUCAACUCACUGAGCUUCCUCUGAAGCCUUGAAAGGUUUUCAGAUCCAAGGAACAAAGGGGAAAAUAGACAAAGGAGUGCAGGGGACCUGGCCUGGCACUGGCUUAUUUGCCUGAGCUCAAGGAGAUCCCCGCUGGAGCAGCCUCUGCAAAAGGGAGCCCAUGUAGGCCAGGGGCUGUCCAAACUCCAGCUUCUUCUCCUGGGAAAAAACCCAAAGAACCAAAAACAAACCACCCCAAGGAUAAUAAUAGCUACACUGCUAGCUUCUCAAGUUCUUGUGAAAAACAAUUUACAUAAUGACACAGUAUAAGUGGAACACCUAGCCCAGUGCCUGGGCAGGUCCCUAUUAUCAUAAAUGAACGUAAAAGUGCUCUAAAAACACUCCACAGAUGUGACUUUCACAUUGUUUCCAAAGCAGGUUCACCAAAAACACAAAAUGCAACAGUGUGUGUUGAAUUGGUUCAAUCAUAAUUCCUUUUAUUUUUCUUUUAUCAGAAUGCGGGUCUAGGAAAAACUUGCUCUAUUUAACAGGACAGCUGUGAUUGAAGCAUCCAAGUACAGGUCACUGGGGUGGGCACUGUUUUAUACACAGACGAUUUCAAGAACUCUGCCUCAAAGAGCUUACGAUCAAAUAUGUCAGUUCUCAGUCUUUUUGGAGAAGUAGGAAAUAGGAAGAUAAAUCUGAGAUUUAAAAAAACACAAAACAUUCAAGAACCUGAUGUCUUAAAAUUGUCCUACAAACAAAAGCUCUCUGAAAGCUCUGGCUUGGAAACUACUCUCAGAAUCCAGCUAACGCUCCAGGGAAGUGGCCUGAGGCAGGGAAGCUAAGUGGUGAAGAGCACAGGCUGGUAGCCCUGCGAUUGAAGCCAGAAUGACCAGCUGUGUAACCAAAGGCAAGGUGCUGAACCUUUCUCUGCCUCAAUUCUCUUAUCUGCAAAAUGGGAAAUAAUAACGAUCCCAACCUCAGAGAACUGAACAAGAUAAUACAUGAAGGUGCAUAUCAAAGAGUCUCGCAUGCUCUGCUGGAUCACACAAAAGUUGGGAAGAGAAGGGUGUCAACUAGACUACAUCAAAAUCUGGGCAGAGGGAGGACAAAGAGCUGCCUAAAGAAACUGGUAACUGGAGCAAACUUCAAAGAUCAAGAUGACCCUAGUCAACGGAACCAGCAGCCCAGGUCAGCCACAUUCAGGAGCACCACCGAGGCACGGCAGGGAGAGCAAAGUUGCUGGCCCCAAUCAUUCCUCCUUUUCUGGGCAGGAGAGGCAGAAGCUCACUCUUUAGACAUGUUCUUGAUGGUCUUGUGCUCUUUCAUGGCCUUCUCCCAAUCGCUGCCAUUGAAUUCCUCAGUGACCAUACUCCGCACAGUGCCCUCAUCCAGGCAGUGGGGGGCGAUUCCUAUGAGAAAGUGGCACAGACAAAGGGGGAUCCUCAGUAUGGGUGAGACCAGAUGGUAUACCGGCUCCCGGAUAAGCCUCUACCUGCAGGCAUCAUCAUGCUACACAUUAGGGCUUCCAAAGGAUAUGCCACAGCUUACGGCUUCAGCGAUGAGACCCACAGGCUGCCAGCUGGCUCAGAAAGCACUGGCUCCAGCCUACCGCUUCAGCCCUCUGGCUCACUUUCCUCAACUGCCAGAUGGGAAUCACACUCCCUGAACCAGGGACGGCCAAGGCUAGACAUCAUUCAAUACCAAGUUGAGAGUGCAACAUGCAGAAAGGCACAGCCCAAAGCAAUCUCUAACUGGCAGCCUAAAGAAUUCACAGGCCUUUCCUGUGUUUUGAUAGAUAACUUUCUUUCCUUUUUUUUGAGAUGGAAUUUAGCUCUUGUUGCCCAGGCUGGAGUACAAUGGCAUGAUCUUGACUCACUGCAACCUCUGCCUCCCAGGUUCAAGUGAUUCUCCUGCCUCAGCCUCCCAAGUAGCUGGGAUUACAGGCGUGCGCCACCAAGCCUGGCUAAUUUUGUAUUUUUAGUAGAGAUGGGGUUUCUCCAUGUUGGUUAGGCUGGUCUCGAACUCCCAACCUCAGGUGAGCCACCACGCCUGGCCUUAGAUAGAUAACUUUCUAAGAAUUAAAUGUCUUCCCAUUUGUACAGGAUUUCAUACUUUUCAAAACUCUUUCCUGUUCUGCAAGGUAGACAGGAAGGAGUCUCCAUGUGACAGAUGAGGAACAGGAGCCCCUGAAGCAAUGGGGGAGGGGUAAGGAUGACAUCAUGCCCUGCCCUGCCUCCCCCACCUCCCCCCUGCCACCACUAUAAGGCAAAAGACACUGACAGUCAUAGCUGCUCUCGCAGCUCUGGAGGCUGCACUGACACAGAGAACAAGAGUCCUCAGGAACAUCUUCCACCUCUGCUUUCCCCUUCAAUUCACACUACAGUUGGUAUGAUUCUCAACAACUGUCAGAGGGUUACUUUUAUUACUCCCCAGACCCAAGCAGGCCCUGAAGCGGGCCUUGGAGGGUCCCCCGCUUGUUUAUUAUUUUUUAAAAAGAACAGAGAUACGGUUUUGCUAUGUUUCCCAGGCUGGUCUCAAAUUCCUGAGCUCGAGAAAUCCUCCUACCUUGGCCUCCCAAAGUGCUGGGAUACAGGUGUGAGCCACCGCAGCCAGCCAGUCCUGCCUAAUUUUUGAACAACCAAAAAGUUUUUGAAUGCUAUUAUCAACGCUCCCCAAUCUUGCCUCCUUCACUCCCUUAACCCCUGUCAUUAUUAAAGCUGCCUCCCCUGGCCCCACAAGCCCAUCUCCCCACCCCUCUCCUCCUUACCCUUCAACACCAUCGCCAGCAACACCAGCUCUGGCAGCACCAGUGAAUAAGAAUCACAACCUGGAUGGGCUCCAAGUCCAACUUCACCACACUCAGAUGGGAUUCAGAAAAGUUUCACCAGAGCCCGACUCACAUUCUAUCAUGUGGAAAGCACUCUGCUGAGGAGCCCUGUUCCUCUAAGAUACACAUGUGACAGGGUCUAGUCAGUGUCUCACCUGUCCAAACAAGACUUUAAGUGAGAGCACCACGGGCCUCUCUGUGUCCCCGAGCUUGCAGUCCAUCCCCUUUACUCACCGAAGCCUCCGGGGUUUGACCGUGGAGUAUAGAAGCUCUGAACGCCACAUCUCUUACAGAAGGUAUGCUGGGCUUUGUGAGUAUUGAACGUGUAAGUCGUUAUGUGCUCAGCUCCCUAGGUGAAAACAGACAACAGGUGUUCUUUUUCACAAAGAAAUUUAUUUAUUUAUUUAUUUAUUUAUUUAUUUAUUUAUUGAGACAGAGUCUCCCACUGUCUCUCAGGCUGGAGUGCAGUUCCACCUGCACGGGUUCAAGAGAUUUUCCUGCCUCAGCCUCCACAGGCGCGUGCCCCCAUGCCCAGCUAAUUUUUUGUAUUUUUAGUACAGACAGGGUUUCACCAUGUUGGCCAGGUUGGUCUCGAACUUCUGACCUCAUGAUUCACCCGCCUUGGCCUCCCAAAGUGCUGAGAUUACAGGUGUGAGCCACCGCGCCUGGCCCCAAAGACAUUUAUUUUUAUGUCACUUAAAAAAUACACCUUUGUAGCCGGGUGUGGUGGUGGGCACCUAUAGUCCCAGCUACUUGGGAGGCUGAGGCAGGAGAAUGGCAUGAACCUGGGAGGUGGAGCUUGCAGUGAGCCGCGAUCGCACCACUGCACUCCAGCCUGGGCAACAGAGCGAGACUCCGUCUCAAAAAAAACAAUACACCUUUGGCCAGGCAUGGUGGCUCAUGCUUGUAAUCCCAACACUUUGAGAGGCCGAGGUGGGUGGACUGCUUGAGCCCAGGAGUUCAAGACCAACCUGGGCAACAUGGAAAAACCCUGUUUCUACAAAAAAAUACAAAAAUUAGCCAGGUACAAUGGCACACAUCUGUAGUCCCAGCUACUUGGGAGGCUGAGGUAGAAGCAUCAGUUGAGCCUGAGGAAGUGGAGGCUGCCGUGGGCUGAGAUCGCACCAUUAAAAAAAGAAAUCUUGAAACAACUUAAUGGCAGGAGCUCUUUUGUAGGGCUCUUUGUAUUAAGAGGCCAUUUCCUAUCUCCUGUAAGAGACUGGGACCUUCUUGAGGACAAAGACCCAUCUACACUAUCCAGAGACAUGUCAGUCUGGAGCGGGAUAGCUCACAGCUUCCCUUAGGUCAAUUGCACACAGAAUUCGGACUUGAGCCUUCCCUCAUACAUCACAUCAGGGAUGGAAAGUGCUUGCUUCCCAGGGCCUACGUGGAGAGACAGUUCACCCAAGGGACUGGCUCUCCAUGUCCCCAAACAGAACGGCUCAAGGUCUUAAGAAAACUGAUGGCUGUGCUUAAUUUAUCCACAAAGGACAAACCAGGAAAAAAAUAUUUGCCAGACGUCAUAGACAGGCUAAUUUCCUUAAUGGAUAAUACAAACUGGAGAAUGGACAAAGGACAUGAACGGACAAUUCAGAUGGAAAGAAAAAUAAAUCACUCUUUAGCCUAUGAAAUGCUCACCCUAAGGAACUUCAAUGAGAUAUAUUUCACUGUCAGGUGGGCAAAAUCAAAGCCAUUAACAUGGUAUUGACAAGUAUGUAGAGAAAUAUGUGCUCACAUGUAUCAGUCACAGGAAUAGGAAUUGGUACAAUUUAGCGACAUCUACCAAAAUUUUAAAGUGUACAUAUGCUUUAGCAUACAACUCCAUUUCUUGAAAUUUAUCAUACAGAUAUAUUCCAAAUGUCUCAAUGACAUAGGUAUAUAGAUACUAUAGCACUGUUUAUGAAGGCUAAAGAUUGGAAAAAUUGAAAAUGUCCAUCAAUAGAGGACCGGUUAGGCUUUAUGCACACUCAUAAAAUGGAAUAUUCUCCAACUUUUGAGAAGAAUGAGACAGCUCUACAAAACUAACAUGGAACAAUUGCCAAGGUUACAAAGUUAAGCAAGGUAUAGGCCAGGCGCAGUGGCUCACGCCUGUAAUCCCAGCACUUUGGGAGGUCAAGGUGGGCGGAUCACUUGAGGUCAGGAGUUCAAGACCAGCCUGGCCAACAUGGCGAAACCUCGACUCUACUAAAAAUAUAAAAAUUAGCCAGAUGUGGUGGCGGGCACCUGUAGUCCCAGCUACUCAGGAGGCUGAAGCAGGAGAAUCACUUGAGCCUGGGAGGCGGAGGUUACAGUGAGCCGAGAUCGCACCACUGCACUCCAGCCUGGGCGACAGAGUGAGACUGUCUCAAAAAAAAAGUUAAGCAAGGUAUAAAACAACGUAUGUGGUAUACUACCAUUUCUUUUUUUUUUUUUUUAAGGCUAUAUACUGGUAUGUGUGGUGUUUUUGUUUUGUUUUGUUUUUUUGAGACAAGGUCUCACUCUGUUACCCAGGCUGGAGUGCAGUGGUAUGAUCACAGCUUACUGCAGCCUUGACCUCCCAGGUUCAAGUGAUUCUCCCACCUCAGCCUCCCGAGUACCUGGGACUAUAAGCAUGCAACACCACGCCUAGCCGAUUUUUUAUUUUUUGUAGACAUGGGCGUCUCACUAUGUUGUCCAGGCUGGUGUUGAACUCCUGGGCUCAAGUGAUCUGCCCGCCUUGGCCUUCCAAAGUGCUGGGACUACAGGCAUGAGCCACCGUGCCUGGCCUGUAUGUGCUUUUAUAUGCAUAUGUAUCUUUGAAGAGGGAUCCAAGAAACAGUGGCUUACCUUUAGGGAGAGAAAUCAGACAGCUGAAGGGGAAGGGGUGGAGGUUUCUUAUCAUUGUUAACCCUCUUUACGCUUCCCCAGCCAUACCAUCCAGAAUUGUGCUUCCUAUAGAAAUAGCUCCCUGAGGAGCCUUGCUCACUCCAUAGCCACUGCAGCACAGAAAAGCAGCGAAGGACUGCCAAGUGGUCCCAAGCCAUCCAGCAUUAUCUGGAUGGAAUUAAAGCCCUGCCCAACCCCACAUUACCCAUAAUUUGCUAAAAGUCUUUUUUAAAAAAAUCUGUAUUCUUUAACCUGGAGAUUUUCUUUCUUUCUUUUUUUUUUAACUGCUCCAAGUAUGUGCACACUUGUAGGAAGUGUGCCCAGAAUAGCCAGAGAACUUAUUUCUAAGAGAACUGAUCCUAAAGAAGAAAUUCCUAAAUUGCCAAAAGUUUAUACCAAGGAGGUUCACCAGUGUUGUUGAUAAUCAGAAAAAAACUGGACUCAACUGCAAUGAUGCAGAGACAGUGACGGGAUAAGUAGAGCAGGAAAUCGGCUGUGGGGAAGAGGGAGACUGGGGCAUGGCGACAGUAGGGAAAGACUUUUCACUGUGUAUAUACACAUUUUAUUCUACCUUUCAAAUUUUGUACCAAGUACAAAAAAUUCCCCAAAAUAAUAAAAUUAAAGUUAAAAAUAAGUAUAUAAGCUUUUCAUUGGGAAAUGAGAUAAGCAGGUUAUCAACAAAAAGAAUGGUAAAAUUCUACUUAAUAAACAUAAGACAACAGGUUUAGAUGUAUUUCUCAGAGUAGAAAAUAAUACACAAGGACAGACACCAAAAUAUUAACAGUGGUUACCUUUAGUUGACAGGAUUUGGGUGAUUUUAUUGUUUUUUGAUUCUCUGAAUUUGAAAAUGUUUCCACAAUACCAAACAGGCCUCCAAAAAAUAAAGGUAAAAAAUAACACAACCUUUUAUUUUUUAUUUUCAUUUUUUUUGAGAUGGAGUUUCACUCUUGUCACCCAGGCUGGAGUGCAAUGUUGUGAUCUCGGCUCACUGCAACUUCCAUCUCCCAGGUUCAAGUGAUUCUCCUGCCUUGGCCUCCCAAGUAGCUGGGAUUACAGGCAUGCACUACAACACCCAGCUAACUUUUGUAUUUUUAGUAGAGAUAGGGUUUCACCAUGUUGGCCAGGCUGGUCCUCAACUCCUGACUUCAGGUGAUCCACCCAUCUUGGCCUCCCAAAGUGCUGGGAUUACAGGUGUGAGCCACAGUGCCCGGCCCACCUUUUAAAUGUCAACCUGAAACCAAAGCCCGUGAGAGGCCCUGCUAUGCUCCAGGCCCCUCCCAUGCUACAGAUGGCAUGCUAAGGGUUGGUUGGGGGGUCCUGUAAAUCUCACCAAUGGGUUCUGCACUCCUUGACCCUGCUCUUAAGCACUGACCUUCAGGAGCUUGAAGCGAGAAGCUGGAACAAUGAAGUGUCUAUUCUGCUUCUUCUUGCAAAUGCUGCAGCUACAGAAAGACAGAGCAAAUUCCAGAUUGUGAGCAGCCACCUGCGUCCUCUAUGCCUGAGCGGCCCAGCCAUCAGAGCCAGCCGACCCCACAGAUGAUGCCUUUUUCAGCACCAUCCAGGGCCGAGGAGCUGGGGCAAAGGCCUGGAUAGCAGGGCCUCUGGUUUGCAGGUACAGCAGAGCCCAGGGGGGUCCCAAGUCAGCAGUCAAGGCUCUGCAAUGCUCAGAACACAGGACCAACAGACAGGUCUGCACUGCCCACCCCCCAGUUCUUUACAGUGAAGAGAAGCGCUGGACUUCAGAGACACUUAGAAAACAAAUUUCAGACACUGCUACAACCUGAUGUCUCUGAGACAUCCACACCAAAAAUGGACAAGGAAGUUUAGGUUUCCCUCUUUCUUCAUCACCACGUCACAAAAAGUCCAGCUCCAAGUAAAACACAUCCCCAGAAUUACCAUCUCUGGAAUUAAACUGAAGUCCCCUCUUUUCAGGCCACCUUUGAAAAAGUUCUAAUUUAGCAUAGAAUCCUCUCACAAGUUAUUCCACAGUGCUUCUUUUCCAAUCUGGACUCUACUGUUAG